rnacentral:rRNA from 1 species
AUUGAACGCUGGCGGCAGGCCUAACACAUGCAAGUCGAGCGGAUGAAGGGAGCUUGCUCCUGGAUUCAGCGGCGGACGGGUGAGUAAUGCCUAGGAAUCUGCCUGGUAGUGGGGGAUAACGUCCGGAAACGGGCGCUAAUACCGCAUACGUCCUGAGGGAGAAAGUGGGGGAUCUUCGGACCUCACGCUAUCAGAUGAGCCUAGGUCGGAUUAGCUAGUUGGUGGGGUAAAGGCCUACCAAGGCGACGAUCCGUAACUGGUCUGAGAGGAUGAUCAGUCACACUGGAACUGAGACACGGUCCAGACUCCUACGGGAGGCAGCAGUGGGGAAUAUUGGACACUGGGCGAAAGCCUGAUCCAGCCAUGCCGCGUGUGUGAAGAAGGUAUUCGGAUUGUAAAGCACUUUAAGUUGGGAGGAAGGGCAGUAAGUUAAUACCUUGCUGUUUUGACGUUACCAACAGAAUAAGCACCGGCUAACUUCGUG